CCCUAGUAACUGCGAGUGAAGCGGGAAAAGCUCAAAUUUAAAAUCUGGUGGUCUUUGAUCAUCCGAGUUGUAAUCUAGAGAAGUGUUAUCCGCGCUGGACCGUGUACAAGUCUCCUGGAAUGGAGCGUCAUAGAGGGUGAGAAUCCCGUCUUUGACACGGACUGCCAGGGCUUUGUGAUGCGCUCUCAAAGAGUCGAGUUGUUUGGGAAUGCAGCUCAAAAUGGGUGGUAAAUUCCAUCUAAAGCUAAAUAUUGGCGAGAGACCGAUAGCGAACAAGUACCGUGAGGGAAAGAUGAAAAGAACUUUGGAAAGAGAGUUAAACAGUACGUGAAAUUGCUGAAAGGGAAACGCUUGAAGUCAGUCGCGUUGGCCGGGGAUCAACCUUGCUUUUGCUGGGCGUACUUUCCGGUUGACGGGUCAGCAUCAAUUUUGACCGUUGGAUAAAGUUCAGGGGAAUGUGGCAUCUUCGGAUGUGUUAUAGCCUUUGUUCGCAUACAACGGUUGGGAUUGAGGAACUCAGCACGCCGCAAGGCCGGGUAUUUAUACUACGUUCGUGCUUAGGAUGCUGGCAUAAUGGCUUUAAUCGACCCGUCUUGAAACACGGACCAAGGAGUCUAACAUGCCUGCGAGUGUUUGGGUGGAAAACCCGAGCGCGUAAUGAAAGUGAAAGUUGAGAUCCCUGUCGUGGGGAGCAUCGACGCCCGGACCAGACCUUUUGUGACGGAUCCGCGGUAGAGCAUGUAUGUUGGGACCCGAAAGAUGGUGAACUAUGCCUGAAUAGGGUGAAGCCAGAGGAAACUCUGGUGGAGGCUCGUAGCGAUUCUGACGUGCAAAUCGAUCGUCAAAUUUGGGUAUAGGCGAAAGACUAAUC
rnacentral:rRNA from 1 species